rnacentral:misc_RNA from 1 species
GAUCAGGAAGAACCUAGCAAAGCUGAAACCGAAUUUCACAGAAAGAAAAAGACCCAGAAAACUAAACUGCCUCACCAAAAAAAAGAAGAAAAAGAGAGAGAGAGAGAGAGAGAGAUAAUAGAAAAGGAGACCACCGUUAGGAAAGGCUUGUAAGCUUUAAAGUUUCUGGGGCUAAAGUGACUGAAUUUGAAACAGGCUUAAUUUUGAGAGGUAAGAAACAGAGAAAAAGGGAAGAUAGAAGAGUGUAAUUUGGCGGAGACUAAAAUGUAGUAGCUGGAAAACGAACGAACACAGAUCAAGGCCAAAUGGGUAUUGUACAAUUAAAGCGGAUAAUACUAAAUUUUGGAGAAUCUAAAGCAGAGGCGAUGAUCUCUACUCCGAAUUCUAUGUUUUCUUUAUGGCUACUGUUUAAAAACAAUAGGAAAAAAAUAAAAA